CUCUUUCCUUUUAUUUCUUUUUAUUUCUACAACUACUUCUUCCCUUCCCUUUCCUUUUUCUAUUGCAUUUCUUCUAUAAUGACCCUAGUAUCAGCAACUAGCUGACUGUCGCAAUAUACACUGAUUAUUUCCAUGUCGUCAUUCUAAAGACGAUUAACUUGAAAUACAAAACUUCAAUCUCGCAAUCUUGUUCUCUCGUUUGUGGUAAGGCUUGACUGUGUUUGUGACACGGUUGAGCUCAUUUAACUUGAACCUCAUAUGUAGGGUCGAGCGGGCCACACCAAGAGACCGUGCCAGAGAUCGAAUUGUCCUUGUUCUAUUCAGUGGGAUUGUUGAGGUCCUUGCAAGAUCCUGCUCUUUUCUCUUUCGACCAGCUCUUCCUUUCUUCUUGUUGGAGACAUCUACUUCUUGGCCCGCGACAAUCUUCUUUUUGGCGUCCAAUCAGAUUCUUUCAACAUAUCGUACAUGUAUGUUCAACAGGAUUGAGACUAGUAGCUUGUCGUCUGGUUGAAUAGAUCCAUCUGUGAGCUCGAUUACUAGGAGAGCGAAGUAAACACCAUGUCUCUCCUUAUUUGACAAUUCUUUUCUUUUCUGUUUACCUGGUACACACCUUCUUGACCUUCUUCAUCUUUUUGAAGUAUCCAAUUCACAACUUCAUCCUCUUCCUCUUCAUCUUCCUGUGGCAUCCAAUUCAUAGCUUCAUCCUCUCCCUCUUGAGGCAUCAUGUUCAAAUCAAUACCUCCAUCCUCUCCCUCUUGUGCUUCAUCCUAUCCCUCUUGAGGCAUCAUGUUCAAAUCUAUACCUCCAUCCUCUCCCUCUUGAGGCAUCAUGUUCAAAUCUAUACAUCCAUCCUCUCCCUCUUGAGCUUCUUCAUCUUCCUCUUCAGGCAUCAUGUUCAAAUUUAUAUCUUCAUCCUCUUCCUCUUGAUGUACCAUGUUCAAAAUCACACUCCUACAAUCAAUGACAAAAGAUGAGUACAGCAUGGUACCGUAAGUCCGUA
rnacentral:lncRNA from 1 species